UACGUAGGGUGCGAGCGUUAAUCGGAAUUACUGGGCGUAAAGCGUGCGUAGGCGGCUAUGUAAGACGGAUGUGAAAUCCCUGGGCUUAACCUAGGAACUGCAUUUGUGACUGCAUUGCUGGAGUGUGGUAGAGGGAGAUGGAAUUCCGCAUGUAGCAGUGAAAUGCGUAGAUAUGCGGAGGAACACCAAUGGCGAAGGCAAUCUCCUGGACCUGCACUGACGCUCAUGCACGAAAGCGUGGGGAGCAAACAGG
rnacentral:rRNA from 1 species